CUACACCUACGGGGCGCAGCAGUGGGGAAUAUUGGGCAAUGGGCGCAAGCCUGACCCAGCAACGCCGCGUGAAGGAAGAAGGCUUUCGGGUUGUAAACUUCUUUUCUGAGGGACGAAGAAAGUGACGGUACCUCAGGAAUAAGCCACGGCUAACUACGUGCCAGCAGCCGCGGUAAUACGUAGGUGGCAAGCGUUAUCCGGAUUUAUUGGGUGUAAAGGGCGUGUAGGCGGGAAUUCAAGUCAGAUGUGAAAACUA
rnacentral:rRNA from 1 species